rnacentral:rRNA from 1 species
AGAGUUUGAUCCUGGCUCAGGAUGAACGCUGGCGGUAUGCUUAACACAUGCAAGUCGAACGAAAGUUUUUAACUUUAGUGGCGAACGGGUGCGUAAUACGUGAGAAUCUGCCCUUAGGAGAAGAAUAACUGCUGGAAACGGCUGCUAAAUCUUCAUAUGUCGAGAGAUGAAAUAGCUUAGGCUGCCUAAGGAUGAGCUCACGCCGGAUUAGCUAGUUGGUGAGGUAAUGGCUCACCAAGGCCACGAUCAGUAGCUGGUUUGAGAGAACGAUCAGCCACACUGGGACUGAGACACGGCCCAGACUCCUCCGGGAGGCAGCAGUGAGGAAUUUUCCGCAAUGGGCGAAAGCCUGACGGAGCAAUACCGCGUGAGGGAUGAAGGAUUUUGGUCUGUAAACCUCUUUUCUCAAGAAAGAAGUUCUGACGGUACUUGAGGAAUAAGCAUCGGCUAACUCCGUGCCAGCAGCCGCGGU